CACUCCUGUGUUGAAGAUGCAUCGACUCACGUACUGCAUUAAUGUUUUAGAUUUUACUGUGAAGCAAACAAUUCACUCCUCAGACCCUCAGUCACCCAAGUCCACAUCUGGACUUGAGGUUUGGCUUCUCUGGUCCUAACUGGGACUUAUCUGACCCUGACAGGAGAUAACUUCAGUAGGGACUUUCCCUAAUAGCAAACAUGCACACUUCAACUUGGCUUGCCCUGAAGGUAACAUUUACUCAUUAUAAUGGUAAAAAAAAAACACACCCCUGGGUGGAGAUUUCAGACAUUACUAAGACGUGUGAUAUAUGUACUAGCGUGUAUGACCAUACAGCAUGUGCACCCAGGAGACCACCCAAAACAUGUUUGCUAGUAACACCCCUUCACAACCCCUUUCAUGAAUAAUCAUAUAAGACCCUCAUAAGGGAGCUUCCCCAGUGCCGAUCAACGCUGUUUCUUUUUCCAAGCAGCCCGCUCUGACUUGGCUUUUAGAGGGUACUCUCUCUUUAAAUAAACUCUGCAGCUGCUUCACUGUCACUGAUUACUUCUUGGCUGAAUUCUUUCCUUCAAGAAGACAAGAACUGAAGACCCCACACCUUCCGGUAACAUUACCAACUCUUUCUCCUUUUUCUCUGGAGCUGGUGCUCAGAUGGUGAGAGCCCUGAGCUAAUAGUCCCAGGGUGGGAGCCUGUUUGCCCCUGUCUGGUCCUCAGCAAUGUCCUUGGUCAGCUUCCUGGCAAGAGCUGUCGAUUACCAGAGGGAACAAGUGAUCAGCACCAGAGUCGAUCACUUCACAGAGGAGCUGAAGUGGACAGGGUCAGCUCAGGCCUCACGGACUAGGGCGGGAAUGUCCCGUGACGGCAGGUCAGUGUCUUAGCUUCCUUUGAGGCACCUCUUCAUAGACUGCAGGGAUCAUUUAGGUAAGAAUAUAGCCUGCUGACUUUUACACCUUGCUGAAAAUCUUUGCUAAUAGCAAUCUGUUAGCUGUGAAAAUUACCAUUGUUUUUUAUUUUUCGUUUUGUUCCUUAUUACUGAAGAUAUUCUAUGGAGCGUUAAAGCCUCCUGCGGUAAGAAACUAGUAAAGAAACAUACUGUUUGCAGGAAGGAAAAUUACCCACAAUUCUUGUUCUCUAAGGUGCGUGGUUAUCAUUCCAACAGCCAUUCUCAGCAAUGAACUGAAGACCCUCAGAUGUGUUUCAUUCCCUUAGUAUUUUAAUCCUCUCCUCCACUCUCAAUUGCCACUUCUCCCGUGAAUGAGGGGAGAGGGGUUGGGAGGGACAUCUCCUGUCUUGGGCCCACAGAUUUUAAAGUUCAAGUCAGAAGCUCCAGUGAUUUCCUGUAUGUAGUAGUCAGGGGCAAGACAGAUCUGUGGUUGGUAGUCUUUCCUUCUCUGUACAUCUGCCAGCCUCUCUCCUCAAGCUGGGGCUUCAUGGAGUCCCAGAACUUUGAACCUGAAGUAGUGUCAGCAGCCAUGUUGCAGCUGGAGUCAGGCCAAUUGUUGGUCUUGCUCCCUCGUGACUGGGACACUUGGAAGAGCCAAAUGGGCAGGCUUGGAGAGCGUGUACUUUUGGAACUGAAGUGUAUCUUAAACCAUUUCAUUGCAACUACGUGUGUGUGUUGGGAGGAUGCAUAACAGCCUCACUGAGGGGUGACUGACAUAUAAUAGAAGGACUUGUGCACCCGUGAAACCAUCACUGUUAUCAAGACAGCGAGCAUGUCCAUCCCCCAUAGGUUUUCUUGUGCUCCUUUGUGAUCCCUUCCUCCUGCCUCUCCUGCCAUGCUCCACCCCAAGCAACCACUGAUCUGCUUUCUGUCACAAUAUAUAGAUUGGAAAACUACUUAUAAUACCAGUUCUAACCUCAUCAAGCAAAUACUUUCUUUUUGUCAGUUGAACUUUUCAUUGUGUGUUCAACAUUCUUGAUUCAGAAAGAGUGAGAGAGAAAGGCUGGUGUGGGCCCUUCCUGGGAGGCCUGGCCCUAUCCACAGCUCCAGUGUGGCUCACGUGCCCUGGAGCCCCUGCCCACAGGACAGUCCUGACUGCUCAUCCACAAGCUUUGUGGUAUCCUCUACCAUUCCUAGGCAGGCUCUGUACAGUGCAGAACUUUCUCCCAGUCCUUGCACCAAAAUAACAAAUGUCAGAGAUAGUACAUUUGGAGCCAGUGGCUGUGCCUCACCUCUAGAUGCCUGUAAUACUGAGCUGCUAAGCAAGAGGUCCCUCCCUUCUUGCCCUUUUCUUGGGGCCUCAUCCCUUGUGCUCUGCUCUUCCUCACACAGGAUAUAUCUUCUGAUUGCUCCUCUCCCACCUCCUGCAGUCCCUGGACCCCCAUGGCAAUACAAACAGACUCUUCUAUAUCCUCAGUCCAUUGCAGGACCACAGCUCUGACCUGGCUGUCCUCUGUUUUCCAAGCCCUGCACCUGUGGAGUUGGGAAUUAGCACCCACUUGACCCCAUUGUGGCAUCAGGCCCACCCUCCCCAAUGCAGGAAGAGUUCCAGAUGUUGGGGAGCUAUGGCAUUAUCCUGCACACAUAUCAUGUCCUGGCCUGGGAAAGUGAUGAUGAUGAUAUUUUCCCACAAAAUAGACAAUAACAUCAUGAAAGUGCCUUGUUCAUUUUCUAGCAUAAAAUAUAUAUCAAAGCAGUGGGGUUUAGUAGGCAUACGUAGAUUUAAAAGCUCCUCAGAAGGCAGGGAAUGAUUUCUUCAACAGAAAAAAAAACUACCCCAAAAGGAGAAUCUCAAUACUUUGGUUGAUAGUAAAUUAAGAAUCCCUCAAGAAAUUCAGUAGGAGAGGGAAAAGAUAAGUCACCAAUGGGAAAUAUAUUUGUCACAAUAUAACAGGCAAAGGACUCAUGUCCAGAGUGCAUGAAGGAUUUCUACAAAUAAAAUAAAGAAUCCAACAGAAAAAUGAAGAAGAGAAAGGAAUAGGAACUUCAUUUUUAAAAAAGAGAAAAGAAAAAGGAAGUAAGGAAAAACAAAUGAACAUCCAAAUGGCCAGAAAGCAUAUAAAAAUGCCCAACCUCAUAAACCAUCAGACAAAUGUGAUCCACAAUGAGAAGCCAAUACACACCGACCAGCACGGCUAAAAUUAAGAAGACUGUUAAUACCAAGUGUUGGUGAGAAUGUGAAGUAACUGAAACAUUUAUACACUGCUGGUGGAAAUGUGAAAUAGCACAACUACUUUGGAAAAUUAUUUGGGAAUACUGCUAAAGGUGAGCACCCCUAUGAUCCUGAAAUCCCACUCCAAUAUGAAAACCCAAAAGAAAUGCAUCCUGAUAGAGGCACUCUUCAUAGUAGCCCAAUGUUAAUCAUGGAAGAAUGGACAAGUAUAUAUCAUAUCAUGGAAUUUUUAUGGUAAUGAAAAUAGAUUAAUAACUGCCAUGCACAGUUGGUGAAUCCCACCAACAUAAUGUUGAGUGAAAGAAACCUGAUACAAAUGAAUGUAUACUACACUAUUUCAUUUCUGUGAAGCUCCAAAAUAAGCAAAACGAACCUAUAGUGUUAUAAGUCAGUAGAGUGAUUAUCUUAGUAUUUGCAUGGGAGCUCUGGUAAUGUUUUAUUUCUUGAUCUAAGGGCUGGUGUCCCAGAUGUGUUCACUUUGUGAUAAUUCAUCAAUCUGUUUUCUUGGGAGCUGUGGCUUAUCUGUGCAGAUAUACUCCAAUUAAAAAAAUCAUUCAACUCAAUGACAACAACAACAAAAAAAACUCGAUUUUUUAACAUUUUGUGGAGUGUUUAUUAUGAUCCAGUCAGCGUACUAAAUACACUAUUUUAUUUGAUCCUUAAAAUAACUUAAACAACUUGAUUUAAAUAUGGGCAAAGGACUUGAGAAGACAUUUCUCCAAAGAAGAUAUACAAAAAGCACAUGGAAAACCCUUGACAUAAUUAGUAAUCUGGGAAUGCAAAUGUAAACCACGGUGGGAUACCACUUCACACAUGUUAGAAUGACUAUUAUCCAAAAAUAAAACAAACAGAAAAUAACAAGCAUUGGCAAGGAUGUGGAGAAAUUGAAACCCCCAUGCAUUGUUGGUGGGAAUGUAAAAUGGUGCAGCCGCUGUGGAAAACAGUUUGAUGGCUCCUCAGAAAACCAUACACAGAAUUAACAUAUGAUCCAGCAUUGCCACUUUCAGGUAUAUACCCAAAACAAUAGCAUGAAACACAUAAAGAGACAUGUUCAUAGCAGUAUUAUUCAGAAUAACUAAAAGGUGGAAGCCAUGUUAAGUGUUCAUUGACAGAUGAAUGGAUAAGCAAAAUGUGGUAUAUCCAUACAAUGAAAUAUUAUUCAGCUUUUAAAAGGAAGGAAAUUUGAUACAUGCAACAACAUGGAUGAAUCUUCAGGACAUUGCGUUCAGUGAAAUAAACCAGUCACAAAAAGACAAAUACUACAAGAUUGCAAUUACAUGGAUACCUAGAACAGUCAAAUUCAUACAGACAGAAAGUAGAAUGGUGGUUGCCAUGUCCCAAAGCCAACAUAAAGCAGCAGUUGUGGACAGCUUCAGUUUCAGCUGAACUUGACUGUAUGUUGUGCUGAAACCAGGGUAAUCUGAUGUCCAACACUCAGAGCCAGUUAAGACUUUUGUUUCUGGUGACCUGGGGAGCUGACAGUGCUUUUCAGGCACACCUGGGGUAACUCUUAUUUCCCAAAUGGGUUGGCAGAUUGUUGUGGGUGCCAGGUCUUUGAUGGACUGGAUCUAGACACGAAUAAAUAGCCUGCUG
ensembl:lncRNA novel transcript